rnacentral:rRNA from 1 species
CUCGUUGGUGACCAGCGGAGGGAUCAUUACCGAGUUAUACAACUCAUCAACCCUGUGAACAUACCUAAAACGUUGCUUCGGCGGGAACAGACGGCCCUGUAACAACGGGCCGCCCCCGCCAGAGGACCCCUAACUCUGUUUUUAUAAUGUUUUUCUGAGUAAACAAGCAAAUAAAUUAAAACUUUCAACAACGGAUCUCUUGGCUCUGGCAUCGAUGAAGAACGCAGCGAAAUGCGAUAAGUAAUGUGAAUUGCAGAAUUCAGUGAAUCAUCGAAUCUUUGAACGCACAUUGCGCCCGCCAGUAUUCUGGCGGGCAUGCCUGUUCGAGCGUCAUUACAACCCUCAGGCCCCCGGGCCUGGCGUUGGGGAUCGGCGGAAGCCCCCUGUGGGCACACGCCGUCCCUCAAAUACAGUGGCGGUCCCGCCGCAGCUUCCAUUGCGUAGUAGCUAACACCUCGCAACUGGAGAGCGGCGCGGCCAUGCCGUAAAACACCCAACUUCUGAAUGUUGACCUCGAAUCAGGUAGGAAUACCCGCUGAACUUAAGCAUAUCAAAAA